UCUGGUGCCAGCAGCCGCGGUAAUUCCAGCUCUCAAAGUGUAUAUCGUCAUUGCUGCGGUUAAAAAGCUCGUAGUUGGAUCUGCGCCUCAGGACUUGGUCCGCCCACUGGGCGAGAACUGGGCUCCUGGGCUAGUACUGCUGGUUUUCCCUACGUUGCCUUCAUCGGUCGCGUAGGGUGGCUAGCGAGUUUACUUUGAAAAAAUUAGAGUGCUUAAUGCGGGCUUAUGUCUGAAUACUCGUGCAUGGAAUAAUAGAAUAGGAUCUCGGUUCUAUUUUGUUGGUUUUCUGAUCUGAGAUAAUGGUUAAGAGGGACGGACGGGGGCAUUCGUAUCGCUGCGUGAGAGGUGAAAUUCUUGGACCGUAGCGAGACGUCCGACUGCGAAAGCAUUUGCCAAGAAUGUCUUCAUUAAUCAAGAACGAAAGUCAGAGGUUCGAAGGCGAUCAGAUACCGCCCUAGUUCUGACCGUAAACGAUACCAACUAGCGUUCCGUCGGUGGUAAAUACGCCUUGACGGGCAGCUUCCCGGAAACGAAAGUCUUUCGGUUCCGGGGGAAGUAUGGUUGCAAAGCUGAAACUUAAAGAAAUUGACGGAAGGGCACCACCAGGAGUGGAGCCUGCGGCUGAAUU
rnacentral:rRNA from 1 species